UCAUCUUCGGGGGUAGAGCACUGUUUCGGCUAGGGGGUCAUCCCGACUUACCAACCCGAUGCAAACUACGAAUACCGAAGAAUGUUAUCACGGGAGACACACGGCGGGUGCUAACGUCCGUCGUGAAGAGGGAAACAACCCAGACCGCCAGCUAAGGUCCCAAAGUCAUGGUUAAGUGGGAAACGAUGUGGGAAGGCACAGACAGCCAGGAUGUUGGCUUAGAAGCAGCCAUCAUUUAAAGAAAGCGUAAUAGCUCACUGGUCGAGUCGGCCUGCGCGGAAGAUGUAACGGGGCUAAACCAUGCACCGAAGCUGCGGCAGCGACACUAUGUGUUGUUGGGUAGGGGAGCGUUCUGUAAGCCUGCGAAGGUGUGCUGUGAGGCAUGCUGGAGGUAUCAGAAGUGCGAAUGCUGACAUAAGUAACGAUAAAGCGGGUGAAAAGCCCGCUCGCCGGAAGACCAAGGGUUCCUGUCCAACGUUAAUCGGGGCAGGGUGAGUCGACCCCUAAGGCGAGGCCGAAAGGCGUAGUCGAUGGGAAACAGGUUAAUAUUCCUGUACUUGGUGUUACUGCGAAGGGGGGACGGAGAAGGCUAUGUUAGCCGGGCGACGGUUGUCCCGGUUUAAGCAUGUAGGCUGGUUGUCCAGGCAAAUCCGGAUAAUCAAGGCUGAGGUGUGAUGACGAGGCACUACGGUGCUGAAGUAACAAAUGCCCUGCUUCCAGGAAAAGCCUCUAAGCAUCAGGUAACAUCAAAUCGUACCCCAAACCGACACAGGUGGUCAGGUAGAGAAUACCAAGGCGCUUGAGAGAACUCGGGUGAAGGAACUAGGCAAAAUGGUGCCGUAACUUCGGGAGAAGGCACGCUGGUGUGUAGGUGAAG
rnacentral:rRNA from 1 species